AAACUUUCAACAACGGAUCUCUUGGCUCUGGCAUCGAUGAAGAACGCAGCGAAAUGCGAUAAGUAAUGUGAAUUGCAGAAUUCAGUGAAUCAUCGAAUCUUUGAACGCACAUUGCGCCCGCCAGCACUCUGGCGGGCAUGCCUGUUCGAGCGUCAUUA
rnacentral:rRNA from 1 species